rnacentral:rRNA from 1 species
GACGAACGCUGGCGGCGUGCCUAAUACAUGCAAGUAGAACGCACAGUUUAUACCGUAGCUUGCUACACCAUACACUGUGAGUUGCGAACGGGUGAGUAACGCGUAGGUAACCUGCCUGGUAGCGGGGGAUAACUAUUGGAAACGAUAGCUAAUACCGCAUAAUAUUAAUUAUUGCAUGAUAAUUGAUUGAAAGAUGCAAUUGCAUCACUACCAGAUGGACCUGCGUUGUAUUAGCUAGUAGGUGAGGUAACGGCUCACCUAGGCGACGAUACAUAGCCGACCUGAGAGGGUGAGCGGCCACACUGGGACUGAGACACGGCCCAGACUCCUACGGGAGGCAGCAGUAGGGAAUCUUCGGCAAUGGACGAAAGUCUGACCGAGCAACGCCGCGUGAGUGAAGAAGGUUUUCGGAUCGUAAAGCUCGGUUGUAAGAGAAGAACGGGUGUGAGAGUGGAAAGUUCACACUGUGACGGUAUCUGACCAGAAAGGGACGGCUAACUACGUG